UCAAAUUUGUAACCCUAAUUUCUCUCCCUCUCCGCUGUUCUUUUUACUUCUCAUCAACUCUUCAAUGGUGAAGCCACCUGUUCUUUACUCUUUUGUGUUUGUCUACAUCUCUCUCAAGCUUUCGUGAAGGCUUCUGUUUAUCUCCGACGAACUGCACAGACUUUAAAUAUGUCGCUGAAGGUUUGCUGAGGAUUUCUGUUUCUCUCCUACGAGCUGCGCAGCGUCUAAAUUUCUCGCUGAAGGUUUCUUCAAUAUUUCGGUUUGUCUCGGAUGACCUGCGCAGG